GACGAACGCUGGCGGCGUGCUUAACACAUGCAAGUCGAACGGAAAGGCCCUGCUUUUGUGGGGUGCUCGAGUGGCGAACGGGUGAGUAACACGUGAGUAACCUGACCUUGAUUUUGGGAUAACUUCAGGAAACUGGGGCUACUACCGGAUAGGAGCUCCUGCUGCAUGGUGGGGGUUGGAAAGUUUCGGCGGUUGGGGAUGGACUGGCGGCUUAUCAGCUUGUUGGUGGGGUAGUGGCUUACCAAGGCUUUGACGGGUCGCCGGCCCUAGAGGGUGGCCGGCCACAUGGGGACUGAGAGACGGCCCAGACUCCUACGGGAGGCAGCAGUGGGGAAUAUUGCACAAUGGGCGGAAGCCUGAUGCAGCAACGCCGCGUUCGGGAUGACGGCCUGCUGGUUGUAAACCGCUUUCGCCUGUGACGAAGCGUGAGUGACGGUAAUGGGUAAAGAAGCACCGGCUAACUACGUG
rnacentral:rRNA from 1 species